rnacentral:rRNA from 1 species
GAUGAACGCUGACAGAAUGCUUAACACAUGCAAGUCGACUCGAGUCUUCGGACUUGGGUGGCGCACGGGUGAGUAACGCGUAAAGAACUUGCCUCUUAGACCGGGACAACAUCUGGAAACGGAUGCUAAUACCGGAUAUUAUGGUUUUUUCGCAUGGAGGAAUCAUGAAAGCUAGAUGCGCUAAGAGAGAGCUUUGCGUCCCAUUAGCUGGUUGGUGAGGUAACGGCCCACCAAGGCAAUGAUGGGUAGCCGGCCUGAGAGGGUGAACGGCCACAAGGGGACUGAGACACGGCCCUUACUCCUACGGGAGGCAGCAGUGGGGAAUAUUGGACAAUGGACCGCAAGUCUGAUCCAGCAAUUCUGUGUGCACGAUGACGUUUUUCGGAAUGUAAAGUGCUUUCAGUCGGGAAGAAGUCAGUGACGGUACCGACAGAAGAAGCGACGGCUAAAUACGUGCCAGCAGCCGCGGUAAUACGUAUGUCGCAAGCGUUAUCCGGAUUUAUUGGGCGUAAAGCGCGUCUAGGCGGCAAGGAAAGUCUGAUGUGAAAAUGCGGAGCUCAACUCCGUAUGGCGUUGGAAACUGCCUUACUAGAGUACUGGAGAGGUAGGCGGAACUACAAGUGUAGAGGUGAAAUUCGUAGAUAUUUGUAGGAAUGCCGAUGGGGAAGCCAGCCUACUGGGACAGAUACUGACGCUAAAGCGCGAAAGCGUGGGUAGCAAACAUUG